rnacentral:rRNA from 1 species
GACGAACGCUGGCGGCGUGCUUAACACAUGCAAGUCGAACGGAAAGGCCCUGCUUUUGUGGGGUGCUCGAGUGGCGAACGGGUGAGUAACACGUGAGUAACCUGCCCUUGACUUUGGGAUAACUUCAGGAAACUGGGGCUAAUACCGGAUAGGAGCUCCUGCUGCAUGGUGGGGGUUGGAAAGUUUCGGCGGUUGGGGAUGGACUCGCGGCUUAUCAGCUUGUUGGUGGGGGAGUGGCUUACCAAGGCUUGGACGGGUCGCCGGCCUGAGAGGGUGACCGGCCACAUUGGGACUGAGAUACGGCCCAGACUCCUACGGGAGGCAGCAGUGGGGAGUAUUGCACAAUGGGCGGAAGCCUGAUGCAGCAACGCCGCGUGCGUGAUGACGGCCUUCGGGUUGUAAACCGCUUUCGCCUGUGACGAAGCGUGAGUGACGGUAAUGGGUAAAGAAGCACCGGCUAACUACGUG